AGCGAACGCUGGCGGUAGGCCUAACACAUGCAAGUCGAACGACCGUAUCGUAAGUAGUUGCGCUCACGGGAGGAGGACGUGGGAAGGUGGCUGUAUACACCGGAAAAUACUUGUUAGCGGGGGCUAAUGCCGGGAAUGUUACGCGAAUAACAGAUUAAUCGUAUGUGGAAAAGCAGGGGAUCUUCGAACCUGUUGGUAUUGGAAAAGCCGAUGUAGGAUUAGCUAGUUGGCGGGGUAAAGGCCCACCAAGGGGACGAUCCGUACCUGGUCUGAGAGGAUGAUCAGCCACACUGGAACUGAGACACGGUCCAGACUCCGACGGGAGGCAGCAGUGGGGAAUAUUGGACAAUGGGGGCAAGCCUGAUCCAGCCAUACCGCGUGGGUGAAGAAGGCCUUCGGGUUGUAAAGCCCUUUUGUUGGGAAAGAAAAGCAGCAGGUUAAUACCCCGCUGUUCUGACGGUACCCAAAGAAUAAGCACCGGCUAACUUCGUG
rnacentral:rRNA from 1 species